CUUCCGUCUUGUUCAUUCUAUUUUUUUUAAAAAUCAAAUUAAAUAAAUUUUCAUUAAUAUUUUGAGAUAUAUUUUCUGCUAUAUUAAUAUUAGAAGAAGCACAUCGUGCAGUAUUUUUAGUUUUUAAAUAUCUAAAUUAUACAUUUUAAAAUAUUGAAUUGACAUAAUCUCCGGAAGAAUUGACAUAGUCAAGUUGAUUACCUAAGGCAAGGAAAACUGGACAUAGGGAUUACAAGUCUUCUCUCUCUCAAAAAAACACACACACACACACACACUCUCUUUUCCCUGAUUUUAGCUUACUCUUUGCUGAUACAAUAGUGUGUUGAUUCUUCUUUUUUCGUGUUGGGUGUAGUCAUGGCAGCAGCAUCAGCUACCGAUAUCGACUUUGACCUCAGUAAGAGUAGCUUGGAUUCCUUUGGUAAAGAACUUCUAGAAGCACUUGAACCUUUUAUGAUUGGUUCUACUCAAUCAUCUAGUAUUUGGUUGCACCCAGAAGCCAUUUUCGAUGAUCCUUUAUGGUCAAUUCCUUCGACAACCCAGAAUAUGUUUCCAAGUUUUGAGCAUAUGGGUGCAGUGUUGAGUGUCCAAUCACUUGAGGAUGUAGGAGCGUCGACACCGAUUCAUUCGUUGUGUCAAAUGUCGAAUGAUGUCACCAGUGCUCAGGUUGAUUCUUCUCCUGCUAUAUAUUAUCUUGGACCAUUUAACUCGGAAGAGCUAGCACAACUUGAUGCUUCUUUUUCGCCAACCAACAGAGCAAGUGUUGGCCUUGAAAUUGAAAAGGACGACACAAAUGAAUUGGUGCAACUUAAUUCACAUUUUGAGCAACCGAAUGUGGAAACUGACCAAGUGGAGCAUAGCGAUUGCGAUGAGAUGUGGAAGACAAUUGUUUAUAGGUGAAACUACAAAUGGAGAAAGUAACCUCCUCUGUGGAGCAACGACGACUACCUUCAUCUUAUUGAUUCAAAGAAGAACAAGGCAAAAGAGAGGAUAGUAAAAGAUUAUGGGAUCACUCUUGAGAUUCUGGAGCAGCAUUUUGGCAUGACUCUUGAAGAUGCUGCUAAAUCUCUACAUGUUAGUCGAUCAACACUGAAACGGAUAUGUAAAGCAUAUGGUAUAUCUAGAUGGCCACAUCAUAAGACUAGAAAGGUUGAUCACCAUGUUAGCUAAGUCGAUCACUCAUGAAGGAUUUUAUGUUCCAUCUUCAGUUGCUUCAGAAAAGAUGAUUCCAGGAUGAAGAUACCAAGCUAUUUCAGACAGAGAGUGACGCUGACGAGGACCUCCUAGCUGGCACGAGCAAAGUUGAUCGUACUAGUUAGCCCUUAUUGGUUCAAGUGGAUGAAGAGUCUUUAUCAUUUAUUAUCGUGUCUUUUAAACUUGAGAGUUGUUUCAUUAGUCAGUUUUGAAUACUCUGGUUACCUUAAGACUUAUACUUAUAAGUAUGUGCUGGCCUUUCUUACUAUAUUUUGGUGAUCUUAGUAUUUUUGUGUUACAGACGGAUGUAUAAAUAGUUAUGGUUAACAAGUGCUUGUUAUGUUGUCUGAUUUUGCUGAGACAAGAAAAUUUGGAUAAUCCUUGAAAUAGCGAAAACUCAGUUCAAA